AAUAAAAUGGCCGAAAAUAUAAGCGAUAAAUUGUAAAUUUAUUUAUGAGGAAACAAUACUCUUUUAUUA
rnacentral:tRNA from 1 species